CUUGGAAGCCCUUUUCAUUGUUUUUGGUUAUUUGAAUUGUAAUUUAGUUCUUUGGUUUGUUUUCUUGAUUCUGGUAGCUGUUGACUUGAGCUCAAAUGUAAGUACGUGCAUUAACAAGGAAUUUCCUCACCAGUCCAAUUUCAGUAUCUAGAUGUUCUUAGUUAUUAGGCCCUUGUAUAUUCUUAAGGCAAGCGGCUUGGCUGUACCAUUAACUACAAGCCUUUGUCAUGCUACAAUUCAGACACAAUAUGGAAUGUCUCUACUUGUGAUGCCUACAGCAGUUAUUUAUCCUAUAUUUUAUCAUUUUUCA